GGGGUUGACUGGAUUUGACAGCGGGUCGAGAUGGUACGUAAGCACGCGGAGGCUUGUUGGUUCCCUCCAUAAUCUGAGUCGACGAAAAAUUAAUUGGCGAAAACAAUUACGCUCUCGCUGCUUAAUCGAAGUAUAGUAGAUUACUAGCUUAAUUUCCCUGCUAGGCGGGGAAACGAGACGUCGCUCCGAGGAUGUUGUUCCGAAUCCGAAGAUCCAGCGGCGCAGGUUAAAUCGGGAAUAGUCAUGUCAGGCCUCGAUGGCAUGAUGAAGAUUUAGAGGAUAAGGUUGCAGUUGGUGGCUUGGGUCUUGCUGCAGCACGAAAAUGAAGUCCAAGAUAAGCGUGUAGAAAGCGUAUGGUUUCCCUGUUUGGACGAGGGUUCAACUCCCUCCAGCUCCACU
rnacentral:tmRNA from 1 species